AGAUAUGUCUUAAGUGGGUGAUGAAACCAUGCAGUCUGCACACAAGGUCCUCGUUUUACGACGUUGGAAACGUAACCCGAAUUUGAAGAAGCCGAGGAUGUUUAAACAACUGCAGGUGCCGAUGAAGGAUCGCAGUGGCUGGAAACUCCCUGGUGAUGGCUGCUGGCCUCCCUCCCAGAUUUUCCCUUGCUCUUUCAAGGAUAACUGGAGACAAAGAUGACACUGGAAAGACCAGGUGGUGUCGCCAUGCUGUUUGGACCCAUGUAUCAAGUGUAAUGAGAGCCCUAUGCCACCGCUGACUGCAGGCAGACACUGUGCUGACUUUAAACGCCCUACGGCGACCUCUUUAUUGCUGCAGCUGGAGCCGUCAGACUCCCAUGGCAUCCCGACCAACAAACACGACAUUGUUUUCCAAUUGGUGCUCAAGGAUGAGAUGAGGCGGGAGGCUUUUGUCUUGAAAGAGUUUGCCGCAUUGCUUCACCGUUUC